GAUGAACGCUGGCGGCGUGCCUAAUACAUGCAAGUCGAGCGAACAGACGAGGAGCUUGCUCCUCUGACGUUAGCGGCUGACGGGUGAGUAACACGUGGAUAACCUACCUAUAAGACUGGGAUAACUUCGGGAAACCGGAGCUAAUACCGGAUAAUAUAUUGAACCGCAUGGUUCAAUAGUGAAAGACGGUUUUGCUGUCACUUAUAGAUGGAUCCGCGCCGCAUUAGCUAGUUGGUAAGGUAACGGCUUACCAAGGCAACGAUGCGUAGCCGACCUGAGAGGGUGAUCGGCCACACUGGAACUGAGACACGGUCCAGACUCCUACGGGAGGCAGCAGUAGGGAAUCUUCCGCAAUGGGCGGAAGCCUGACGGAGCAACGCCGCGUGAGUGAUGAAGGUCUUCGGAUCGUAAAACUCUGUUAUUAGGGAAGAACAAAUGUGUAAGUAACUAUGCACGUCUUGACGGUACCUAAUCAGAAAGCCACGGCUAACUACGUG
rnacentral:rRNA from 1 species